rnacentral:rRNA from 1 species
UACGUAGGGCUCAAGCGUUAUCCGGAAUUAUUGGGCGUAAAGCGCGCGCAGGCGGUUUCUUAAGUCUGAUGUGAAAGCCCACGGCUCAACCGUGGAGGGUCAUUGGAAACUGGGGAACUUGAGUGCAGAAGAGAAAAGCGGAAUUCCACGUGUAGCGGUGAAAUGCGUAGAGAUGUGGAGGAACACCAGUGGCGAAGGCGGCUUUUUGGUCUGUAACUGACGCUGAGGCGCGAAAGCGUGGGGAGCAAACAGG